rnacentral:piRNA from 1 species
UGUGACCGACCCCUUUCCCAGUAGGUGAAA